rnacentral:lncRNA from 1 species
AUCAGGGCCCCACCCUUACGACCCCAUUUAACCUUAAUCACCUCUUUAAAGAACCUGUCUCCAAGUACAGUCAUGUUCUGAGGAGCUGGGGUUAGGACAUCAACAUACGGAUUUUGGGGAGACACAAUUCAGACGCUAGCACAGUUCUGAUGCCGUUACUGCUGCCGGCCCUGAACCCCAGACCUGGGCGCACUCCCCGCUCCCUGCGGGCCUCCCAACGGACCAAGCAGGCGGGUCUGUGCCCAGUGAGUGCAUGAGGACACCACUGUGGACGGCAGGGUGCCUGGGUCUGCAUCCCCGGAGCUGGACAGUGCCCCCAAGGGAAGUGAGCAUGGGGCCUCAGGGGCUGUGGAGGUUGGGCCCUGAGCAAGGCCAUGAUCAGGUGGGACCCUGCCUAGGGGGGUGUCCCUGAGAACAGCCUCGAGGGGACCCCACAUCCCUGUCUGCCUCACUCCCUCUCGGGUCGGACUGCAGGAACCACCUGGCCUUGUCUGCUGCAGUCACUGCCCCGCCACACCUGUGUGAUGUGUGCCCUGCAGACCAGAGCCCCCAGGGACACGAAUCCCCUGCUGCCCCAGCGCCUCUUCGGGACACCCCACUUUCCUUUCAAAAAUCAAAGGUCUUCCAACAUGGGCCUGCCAAGAAGCUUCUCUUCCAGAUGAAUACAGAUGGCAGAGGCUGAUUUAAAUAAAUCUAUUAAUUAUGUGCAGCUUAGCACGCGUGCAUAUGUGUGUAAGCUGCAGCUCCUAAAUAAUGUAAUUCCGGGAGCCUCUGCAUCUAUUACAUUUAAUUGCUUCUCCCUGUGGUGCGCAGGAUGGAGAUGCAGCCACAACCUCACUAGGUCCCCGGAGCUUGGCAAACCCCAGAGGGGCUGCUCUGCAGGAGGGGCUGACCACAGGGGGCUCUGGGGAUGCAGGGCCAGUGAGCACUUGCUGUGAGGGACCCGCCUCUUCUCACAGUCCCCUGGGAGCCUCCCCAGGACAAAUUCUUCUCCUCUGCCUGUGAUGCCCUCUGUGCCAUUGGUCUCGGGUGACAUCACCUCCCAUCAGUGGCCCAGGAGUUUGAUGAGACCACCAAUCCCUACUAUCCCCCUCCCGGAGUGGGGUUCAGCGUUUAGGGUCUUAGCCUGGUCCAUGAAUCCCAAAGUCAUCAGAAGACUCUGCCCACAGGACAGGACACCUCCAGGGAGGGAGCUAGAACAAGAAGAGGGCCCUGGCUGGGGCAGGGGAGCAGGUGGCAGGGCCUCCACCCCUCACAAGCACCACCCAAGGCCAGGCCCAGCCCCUCCCAGGUCUGUGUACUUGAAGCAGCUGUUCCUUGAGAGAUGGCUUGGCAGCCUCCAGCCAGCGGCCACAGCGCCCCCAUCCCCACCCCCGUAUCUUGCCCGAUGCCCUCGGGUAGGUCUCCUGGACCAGCUUCCUGGGCUCCUGUCUCAGGGGAUCGGACAAGGUCCCCUCUUCCCUGGGCCUUGCUGAUGACGGGGUCACCUGGCUGCAGGAGGCCACAGACCACGGGGUGCCCGUGGCGUGGGGGGUGCACCCCAGGCCACUUCCAGCAGCUUCUCAGUGUUCAGUGGGUUUGCGGAUUUUUGUUGUUGUUUUUGCCUUGUCUCCCUCUCUCCCUCUUCCCAUAAAGAUCCGCACUUCUGAAGACACAGACACGCUUGGAGACCUACGUUGUCAGAGUGAGAGUCAGGAAAAGCCACAGGAAUGAGCUGGGAGCCCACGUCCUCCAUCAGGGAGCAGCCGCCCUCCCCGGAAAUCCCUCGCAGGACACGGUCUGAGCACCAGGGCUGAGCUCCGCUUGCUCUGCUGGUGAGACAGGGGAUUGCUCUGAGAGCGAAAGGGAGGAGGGAGGAGAAUGCCCAGGCACCUGGGAAGCCGGUCGUGCCGCUUAGGAAGAGCGCUGAGCCCACCGCCAGCCCCAUGCCACCAGCCAGUAUCCAUUCAUUCCUUCAUUCAUUCAUCCAUCCUCCCUCCCUUCACUCGGCAUCCACGGAGCCCCUGUGUGCCAGGCCCUGGGCUGUUUGCUAAGAGACAGUGGUGGGUGGGGCAGGGACAGGUGUCCAGGACUGGGUGGCCCUGCAGUGGGAGUCGUCUGACCUCCUGCUGCCAUGACAGCCACUGGAACAGCCUUCUCUUGUCUCCACCAUCGGAGAUCUCAGAGCCCCAGCCUCAGGGGCUACAUUGCCACCCUGGGCCCCCGCCCAGGGACUCCCGAGGACACAGCUUGAAGAGGCUCGUAGGACCCCCUCUCAGGACCACUAUGGGGAGAGGAAGCACCUGACCAUGAGUGUCCCACUGUCUCUGCAGAGACACUCCUGCAAGCUCUGACACUCGGGGAAAGAGAGACCCACAUCUUUGUAAAAACCAGCAGGCUCUUGAGAGGAUUAUAGGUCUGCAGAGAAUCUUAGCAUUUCAUAAUUUUUAAAUUAUAUUCCAGACACCCAGGAAAUUUUGAAAUAAUAAUAAUUUGGAGGUCUAAUCUGUUAAAACAAUAGCUUUUAAUAUUCAUUUGUUACUGGCAAUAAAUGGCUGUAAUAACCUGA